rnacentral:rRNA from 1 species
UACGUAGGGUGCAAGCGUUGUCCGGAAUUAUUGGGCGUAAAGAGCUCGUAGGCGGUUCGGCAAGUCAGCUGUGAAAUCUCCACGCUCAACGUGGAGGGGUCAGCUGAUACUGCUGUGACUCGAGUCCGGUAGGGGAGUGUGGAAUUCCCGGUGUAGCGGUGAAAUGCGCAGAUAUCGGGAGGAACACCAGUAGCGAAGGCGGCACUCUGGGCCGGUACUGACGCUGAGGAGCGAAAGCGUGGGGAGCAAACAGG